rnacentral:rRNA from 1 species
GACGAACGCUGGCGGCGUGCUUAACACAUGCAAGUCGAACGGUGAAGCGCCUUCCUUUUUGGUGGGUGUGGAUGAGUGGCGAACGGGUGAGUAACACGUGAGUAACCUGCCCCCUUCUUCUGGAUAACCGCAUGAAAGUGUGGCUAAUACGGGAUAUUCUGGGUCUGUCGCAUGAUGGGUCUGGGAAAGAUAUUGUUUCGGUGGGGGAUGGGCUCGCGGCCUAUCAGCUUGUUGGUGGGGUGAUGGCAUACCAAGGCGGUGACGGAUAGCCGGCCUGAGAGGGUGGACGAGCACAAGGGGAAUGAGACACCGCCCAGACGCCAACGGGAGGCAGCAGUGAGGAAUAUUGCACAAUGGGCGCAAGACUGAUGCAGCGACGCCGCGUGAGGGAUGGAGGACUGCGGGUUGUGAGCCUCUUUCGACAGUGAAGCAGGGCUGCCUCGUCUGUGGGUGGGAUGACGGUAGCUGGAGAAGAAGCGCCGGCUAACUACGUG